GAUGAACGCUGGCGGCGUGCCUAACACAUGCAAGUCGAGCGAACAGACGAGGAGCUUGCUCCUCUGACGUUAGCGGCGGACGGGUGAGUAACACGUGGAUAACCUACCUAUAAGACUGGGAUAACUUCGGGAAACCGGAGCUAAUACCGGAUAAUAUAUUGAACCGCAUGGUUCAAUAGUGAAAGACGGUUUUGCUGUCACUUAUAGAUGGAUCCGCGCCGCAUUAGCUAGUUGGUAAGGUAACGGCUUACCAAGGCGACGAUGCGUAGCCGACCUGAGAGGGUGAUCGGCCACACUGGAACUGAGACACGGUCCAGACUCCUACGGGAGGCAGCAGUAGGGAAUCUUCCGCAAUGGGCGAAAGCUUGACGGAGCAACGCCGCGUGAGUGAUGAAGGUCUUCGGAUCGUAAAACUCUGUUAUUAGGGAAGAACAAAUGUGUAAGUAACUAUGCACGUCUUGACGGUACCUAAUCAGAAAGCCACGGCUAACUACGUG
rnacentral:rRNA from 1 species